UUUUUUUUUCUUUCUUUUUUUUUUUUUUUUUGCCAUUUCUUGGGCCGCUCCCACUGCAUAUGGAGGUUCCCAGGCUAGGGGUCAAAUCGGAGCUGUAGCCACCGGCCUCUGCCAGAGCCACAGCAACACGGGAUCCGAGCCGCAUCUGCAACCUACACCACAGCUCACAGCAACGCCAGAUUGUUAACCCACUGAGCAAGGGCAGGGAACGAACCUGCAACUUCAUGGUUCCUAGUCGGAUUCGUUAACCAUUGCGCCAAGACGGGAACUCCCCACAUGUUAAUUUUUUUAAAUGUGAUCACAGUGCUGUGAUUAUGUAAGAGAUCCAAGCUAACGUACUUAGGAGAGAAAGGUACCCAGGCCCGUAGCUAACACUCAAACAAAUCUGCAAAACAAUACGUGUACAUAUGUGUGCAUAUAUAUAUAUAUAUAUAUAUAUAUAUAUAUAUAAGACAGGGAAAGCAAAAGAGCAAAAUGUUAAGAAUUGGUGAAUCUGGGUAGAGUACAUUCACUAUACUAUCAUUUCAGCUUUUCGGUAGGUUUGAAAUACUCAAAGUAAAAGACUGAAAGAAAAAAGCAGAGAGAAGGACAUUAUCCAUGGAUAUAUAUAUAUUAUUAUUUAUUUAUUUAUUUAUUUAUUCAUUAUCUUUUCUAGGGCCGCACCCGCGGCAUAUGGAGGUUUCCAGGCUAGGGGUCCAAUCGGAGCUGUAGCUGCCAGUCUAUGCCACAGCUACAGUAACGCAGAAUCCCAGCCGUGUCUGCGACCUACACCACAGCUCACAGCAAGGACAGAUCCUUAACCCACUGAGCAAGGCCAGGGAUGGAACCUGCAUCCCUAUGGAUGCUGGUCGGGUUCAUUAACCGCUAAGCCACAACGUGAACUCCACAAAUUAUUAUUGUUUAAAAAGAUGUACCAUUUUCCCCUGACCUCAGACAUGCAGACUAUCUCUUUUCUUUCUUUUUUUUUUUUGUUCCUGGGCCAAGGAUCAAACUCGUGCCACGGCAGUGACAAUAUCAGAUCCUUAACCCACUGAGCCACGAGGGAACUCCUACAGAUUAUUUCUGAAAGAUCGAAGAAACUGAUAAUAGGUUGCUUCUGGGAAUGGGAAGGAGGAGUAAGUAUCAAAUUCAAGGGAAACUUACUUUUUAUUGUACAUUUGCUAUUUUGUUCUUUUGACUUUUAUUUUUUUAACCACAUGUACCUAUUAACUUCCCCCUAAAAAUAGGAUUAGUAAGAAAAUAAGUAACGUUUUGAAAACCACAUGUGCCAGGAACCUUCCAUGGUCCCCUGGCUGUGGUGGCUGCUCUGGGCCUCCCUGGCCUCUCACAGCUCUUGCUCCAGUGUUCUCACUGACCCUGCAUGGAAGCCCUGCAGGAAGAAGGCUGGGGCUGACUCAUGUCCCGGCAGGGACUGGGCCCAAAGUGGCUGCUCAGUGAGUGAGCCUGAAUGAAUGAAUGAACCAACAAACGACAAGGGAAGCUGGGCUGCUCAUGCUGAGGUCCCAUAACUGCCAGGACUAUAUUUAACCCCACAGGGACAGCAGCUGCCACCCCACCCCCACAGGGCUGGAGCACAGGGGGCUUUCACUCUGACUUCCUGCCCCAAACCCUGCUCCCAGCAGCCCUUGUGCUGGGGUCCCGGGAACAGGCUGGGCAUUGUGCCCAAGCGCUGAGGUCAGUGGCCGCAGCUUCAGGCAGGCCUUUCUUGGGAACCCAGGCUGGCAGGGAGGGGGAGCCCAUGAACUCCAAGGCUGCCCUCUCCCUGCCUUGGGGCAGCUGCACACCCCCAGAGCCAAACGUGUGCUGAGGGCCACAGUAGGUCAAAGGGCUCCCACCCUGCCCCCCACACCAAAACUCCACUGCCUAAUGGGGCGUGGGAGCCUUCAGUAGCUGUUUACACCCAGCUAAAAAUACCCACUGAAAAGGGAAGUGCACAAGAGACCUGGGGGGACUCAGGGCCAUGGCCCCCAGAGACUCUGCUCCUGCCACAGGACCCAGCUGGAGCCUCUGUGGGGCAGGGGCAGCCCCGGGAGGUAACAGGCAGGUUCACCUUGCCCUCUCAUUCUUUCAGCCGUUGUUUCAGAAGCCUUCCUGGGCAACGUUCAGUCCCAUGUGUGGGAAGCCAGGAUGGAUGGCGGGGACAGGGUCCAGGAGGUCCUGCUCUUGAAACCCCAAGAAUGCUUCUCAAUGUCUCUCCCCCGUGCUGGCCUGAGGCCCCCAACCCAAUGCAUCCUUGCUGAUGCCCUCUGGCUACCAGGUGGUCAAUCACGGCCAGGUCAGUGCCUCAGUAGAUGGGAAAGACGGAGGUGGGGAGGGGGGACAGGGACAGGGGCCACUGGGGAAGGCUUCCAGGAAGAGGGGGAGGGGAGCUGGAACUGAGGACUGCAGGUGGAAGUGACUAGAUCAGGCCAGGAUUAGGAUUUCAAAUUAUGGUACAGAGAAUUAAUUAUGGCUGAGGAAGGUUCAAGGUGGGGGUCCACAGAGGCUUUGAACCCAGCCAGCCCGGAAGUUUCUGACAGGUCUUGGGACAGACUCAAGCAGAACUGAGUUUCCGCCUGGGCACGCCCCUCUGAAAGGGCAGUGCACCUGAGGAGGGCGGGGCCCGCCAGCAGCUGAGCUGGUUUGGCAGCAGUAAAAUCAGCCGCUCCUCUGGUUCUGCAAGGGGCACCCAGGCUGUGUGACGCCUCUAGCCCCACACCAGGCCGUGGGCUGGAAGGUUCCCACUGAGCCAGACGGGUGGUCCCGGAGCCCUUAUCAGACCUGCUACACAGAUGUCUCAGGGUCGGGCAGCUACAGAAUCGGGCACAAGACCCUUGCAGAAGGCUGAAGCUCCCUGGGGGUCAGAGGAGAGGGCAGGAAGGAGGGUCCCACCUUGGCUCCAGUGUUUGCUGCCCAACCCCCACCUCUAGGGUUCCCCCAGCCUUCAGCACCCCUGCCCUAAGGGGAGGGGUGAGCUGAAUGGCUGAAAAAUGCUAAAAACUAAACGAGAGCAACUCACUGGCUCUUCCUGCCCCCAAUGGCUCAGUGGGACCGGAAAUCUCGUCUAGCGGUUUGGCGGGGCCGGGCUGCAGCUAGAGGAGGCUAAUGGGGAGCCUCCUCCCCCAGGCACUUCUGCGGCUAGAGGCUGACACUCCUGGCCCAGAAAGGCUUCUAAGCUUCUAAUUACCGCUCAAGAGCCUAAUUACCUACAUGCACUGGGCAGUGGGGACUCUAGGCCUCCCCAGAGCCCUAACCCAGGCCUCGGUUCUGCCGCCCCCCGCCCCAAGUACACGCUAUGGUCUUUGCAUCUUCAUUUGCCCACAUUUACAUACAGCCUGUCAGCACUGACCUUCAAUGAACCCUUAAAAACCAGAGUGUCCUUGUCCCUCACCCCAAAGUCUCCUAGCCACCUUACAGGUGGGGCCCAGAGGCCAGGGAACUAUCCAGAACUUUGGCCCCCUGAUUCCUGGUCUCCCCAUCUCAGAACCAGGACCCACAAAACACACAGCUAGGGCGGCCCAACUCAAAGCACAUUCAGCCUAGCUCCCCAGAGGAGGGAAAAGAGGUGUUACCAAUACCCUCCCCCCACAGGGUAGACUGUGCAAACGAGAGCAUGGGAGUGAGCGCCUACUGACCCAAUGCCGCCUGAGUUACUUAAUCCUCAAAACUCCCCUCAGGUACUACUGUUGAUCUGCUUGACAGAGGAGGAACCAGGCUGAGGAGAGUCACCCAGCUCCAAGGGGCAGAGCAAGGGUUUGAGUUCAAAUUCUGUCUGAACUUGGAUGGGAGAAAGCCCUCCACCCUCUCCUUAGGCAGGACAGAUGACAGCCUAAAAAGGGACAGUUAGGCGAAGGAGGGUGGCUGAGGGGACCUGUGCCCAGAGACCGGCCUCCUGCUCUGGGAAGUGUGGGUUACAUCUGUGCCAUACCCUGCCUGGCAGAGAGGCCAAGAGUUUAUCCAGGGCCACACAGCAGCUAGAGAAGCCAGCAGCCCUAGAGCAGGUAGAUACUCCAAGCAAGGAUCUCUGCCCCUACCCUCCCUCUUUCUCAAAUGCUUCUCGAUGUUCAUGGCCCUUCCCCUCCAGGAAGCCCUCCAGGCUGCUCCAGCCUACGCAGAUCCCCAGCUUCUGAGCUCCUACCAGCCCUGCCAGGAAGUUGGAACCACAGGCCUCCCCUGACUAACUCCUCUGACUCUGGUCUCCUCUACUGGCCAGCACAGUGGAGCUCUCAGGGUUCCUUCUUCCCCGCUCCCCUCCAGUCUCCCUGCAGUGUGGACAGCACAGGCUACAGCCAGCCAGGCCUGGGUGAGGACCAGGGGCCGGGCUGAGAAGCAGACGCCAGGGUGUGCAGGCGUCAGAUGAUACCCAGGUUUUCACCCACCCACAAGGCUUCCAACUGCAGAGAGCAGGACCGACAGAGGGGGUGCCAGGCCGCCUCUCUUCUGCUUCUCGGGGGCCCAGACCACGGAAAGGGGGGGAGGCGGAGGGAAGCUGCGGUUGGAGGCCCAGCCCUACUGAGGCGUACAGAGCUGGUGUGUGAUGAGAAGCUAUGCUCAUCACAGUACCUCAAAACCAGGAAGAGAAACUGAGCAGGCAGAAAGGCGAGCCAGGCUGCGUGGGGCCCUCAGGGCCCUGGGGGCCUGCCAAGGGGAGCUACUGGACAGUCACUGGACAAACCACCUCUCCUCCCAGGCCUCAGCUUCCCUAUGGGAAAAACGGGAUUCUCUGCCUGGUCCUUCCAGUCUGCCCUGACUGGGACGGGCUGGGGCCUGCCUGAUACGAGACCACCCCCCACUAGUGGAAUACUCCUGAUCCCGCAGUGGGCUCUGGACUCUCCCGGGAAGCGGGGUCAGCCCCCUGAAGCCAGCCUCGCCCAGUCUGCUUCUCCCCUCAGCCACGCAGGGAGCACACUAGCUCUUCCUUCACCAGCUCUUUAUUUUUAGGUCUGAAUUUGACUUUAAUCAUUACUUAGCGGAUUCUAUUUCCAGCCCUUGGAUGAAGGGACCCAGAGGAGUGGAGGAAGGGAGGCAGUGCUCCCUGCCUGGCGUGGGGGAUGGCCUGCUCCUCCACCCAUCCUGUCCCCAACCAAGGAGGGGGGCACUGAGAAACACCCAAAGGGCUCACCCCAGCCAGGCCAGCAUCUUGGAGAGGACCACACCCUGUGACCUCAUCCGAGCCCAAGCUGUGGGACAGGAGGGCAGUUGUAAUGCCCACUUCCCCUGUGCCAAGACCAGGGAAGAGGGAGAAACUCCAAAGGCAAAAGUCUGGCUGCUGGAAUCCAAUGUCAUGCACCUGGGAGCCCUCUGCAUUGAAUGGACCGCUUCAGGGAGGACCCUUUCCUAAGUUAGUCCUGAGCCAUACCAGGAUCACCUGGGGUUAUGGACUCCUAGGCCCUGGGAGUGCCAGGCUGAGACUGGCUUCCUCCUACUGUCCACGGGCUGGCCCUAGUAGGGCACUGGUCCCCACAGAAGCAGAACAAGAGGAAGCGAGUGACGUCACAGCAGUACACACUCAGGUUAAACCUGAGGAACACCGGCCAAAGGGAAGGACGCUAACACACAAGCCUUCCCCCGUGAUUUGGGGACUACCCAUGUUCUCCUCCACCUCCCAGGGGCGAGGGUCUAGAAUCUCUGCCUCCUCCCUCCCAGAUGCUGGGAAGGGCAAGACCAUGAGGCUGGCAUGGCUGUCCCUUGCUUGGGGCGCAGGACGCCUGGGUCCCUUGUCCAAGACUCAGUUUUCCCAGGGAAAGCUGGCCUCUAUUUGCACUGGGGAAACAGGGCUGGCCCAGGAUGGCUGAAGCUGGUGGACAGGAGGCAUCUGGACCCUCAGAGAAGAGGCCUUGUCUGUGCAUCUCUGAUGCUGGAGGAACAGAAGGAAAAUGGGUAGGUCCAGGGCCCAGAAGCCAACCAGCAGCCCAUCUUCCACAUGGUGAUGGGGGCGGGGCAGGGCAGGGAGGCAGGGAGGUGGGACAGCACACUGGCCUGAGUAGCCCAGAACCUCAGGGACAUGGGGUUUCAGAAGGACUCCCCAGGCAGAGACCCCCCCCCCUCCGCUAAGUGAGCCAUCAGCCAACCCUGUCCCAGGCGUUUUCGGCACAUGCAGAGGUAGCCUACGGUGGGCACUGGGUCAACAAUGCGUCUAGUGGUGGCCAGGGGCUGCACCAGGGACCUUCUAGUACCUUGGUUAGUUAGUUAGUGUCUGCACAUGCUCCCCUGAGGUAUGUAUCACCGCCCCAGCUCAGAGGAUGACCUAUCCAAGGUCCCUCUGCCCUGGCCUAAAUAGCAUGGCUGGGCCUGGAAUCACGUUGGCUGGGUACCAAGUUGCCCCUCUCUCCAGUACCCUGGGGCCUGGAGUAACAAUAACCACAACAGCAACAGAUGGGAAACAACAAUGCACAGGCUUGGUAAGAGGGUUGGGUGAAGCUGCUGUGGCAGAGCAGUUUGGGAUGCUCUGUAGUUUUCUAGAGAUUAAGUUACAUGGACCAUGUAGCCACAAGAGAAAAUGCCCAGAUACGGUAUUAAAUGAAAAAAGGUGUGAUGGCUGGCACACAGGCCUAAAUGACAACAGCAAUGAGGGGAAAAAAGAUAAGGAAAAGGAGGCGGGGAGUGCCACGAUAAUAACAGUCACGGCGCCGGUGAAGAAACAGUGGGUGAAUUUUCUGUUUUCUAAAUUUUCUGUAGUGCUGUUUUGUUACUUUCUAAAUUAAGAAAACUAAUACUACAUACCGACAUAUGCAGUGUUCUCGCAACGAGCUCAGAUUCAUUUCCCUGGGGCCUGCCUGCCCCUCAGCUCUGGCCUGGUGUCUGGGACAUCUAUGAAAGGAGGGCCUUUCCAGCUUGGGACAGCACCUCAGCACAUGAGGCUCCCUCCUUAAUUUCUCUUGCCCAGACCCCAAACCUUUGGAGUGUCUCUCUGGGACCAUGAGCCAAGGUUUCAAAAUCCCCCAAGAGCUGGAGCCCAGAACUGGACCCAAGCUGUCCUGCCCGCUCAGGCUUGUGGGGGCAGCCACGUCACUCUGCAGGCCCUGGUCCUCUGUUUCUGUCUCUGCCUGCAGUCUGGUCUGCUCUGGGGUGGCUCAACCCCUUGGGGCCUGGUGUCCCCUGCAGUGGUGCUGGGGACCAUCUUCUGGUCCUUCUCUGUCCCAGACCCCCGACGCAGAGAGAAGAGCAAGGAGGAAGGCACCAAGGUGGCCAGAUAAAAAGGGAAUCCCUGCACAUAUGUUUGCCAGAAGAUAGACCCCUAGUUUCUACAAAGGCCUCGGGACCCCAGGCUGCACUCAACAGUUGGUAUAAAGGCACCCAAUGAUGUCAGGCUUCAGCCCCAGACCCUCAGGCUGGAAAGGAAGUUAGGGUUGGGUGAGGGGAGCCUCACCGGCCCACCACAUCUGUAUCCCCUCCACCAUGCAUGUCAGGGCAACCGGAAACAACUCUAAAUCAAGGGCAGAGGCCUAAGCAAGACAAAACUGCCAGAUGCCCCGAGGGGCCCCAGACAUGGCUCAGUAUCCUCCAGGGAACCUCCCACACUUCCAGGAGCCAGAGGAUGCUGCCACAGUCCCAAUCUUCUUCCUGCUGCCUUCACCCUGUUCCUGCGGGGCCCCACCGAGAAAGACAUUGGGACCAUCAGGGUGUGGGGAGCUUGGAAGAGACCCCCUGGGUGUGCUCGCUCUGACAAUGCUCCUAUGCCAAGGCUAUACGAGGCUUGCUCCCUGUGGACACAGGGCUCUCACAUUCUGCAUCCAGAUCCAUUCAUGCUCCUAUACCAGCUGGGCCAAAGGGUCAGGAAUGACGAUCAGGCUGUUUCAGCUCAGCACCAGGGCUACACCCCACGGGUGCCCCCGCAUGCCACUUCCCGUCAGUAAGACCCAGCCUCAAGCACCAGAGGGAAAUCCCAUGGGCAGUGCUGAUUCGGUCUGAGCCCAGACCCAGGCAGAACCGUCACCGGAAGCCCUCUCCCUCCUCUCUAGCCCUCUGCAGGGGAGCACGUGCUCACCCCACAAGGUCCCAUGGGCCAGGCUGGGGGCUUAUGGCCCCAGUGGGUAAAGGCUUAUGCCUGGUUUCCCUGUACCCAUAGCAGUCCAGGUGUUGUGGGGUGGUGGUGGGAGGGGAUGGAUGACGGAGGGACAGACAGCCUAACUCUGCCAAAGGUCUGGGAUAGCAACUUCCCCCUUUGAGCCUCAGCCCCCCCAGCCUACAAAAUGGGAGGGGAGGUGAACCCUUAGUUAAGCUCCAAGGAUCUGGUAGCUGGACACACCCCUUCCUGACAACUGGCCUGGCCUCCAACGAGCCUGGGAGAACAGAAAGGGCUGACCAGGACGCUAGGAGGUGGGGACCCACCUCCUAAUGCCCAGUGUCACCUCCACCGAGGCCAGAGGCCCUGCCUAGUUUCCCACCCAAGGGUCAGAUGUCCCUGGGCUUAGGCCUGGUCUUCUAAAAGUCCGAAGAUGAUAAGCUCAACCUCUGGCAGGCUCAAGGGAGGCGGCUGGACCCUGGGCCUCCGCAGAGGGAAUGAAGGAGGGGUCAGAACCAGGCAGGCCAAAAAACCUGCAGGCCUGCAGGGAGGCCCUGGGCAGGGAAUGGCAAACAGCCCAUUCUCCUGGGCUCUGGUCCACGCUGACCCCUUCCCCUCCGCUCCAGCCAGCCCCAAUACGGGGAAAGGACAGACUCCGGGUGGCCUGAGACAAGUCUGAGGGGCUGGGAGGGCAGUACCUCCCUCGUGAGCCCCCCUCCCAGACGGGCUGACAGUGACUCCCGGGAGAUUUCGAACCCGGGAAGGAGGGGGUAAGGGAGUGGGGGAUGGGUGUGGACGCCACGGCAGCUGCAACAGAAGCAACAGAAGCGGGACGUACAACCUCCACCCGUCUUCCCCUUGGGAAGCACUCGGACGCCCACCUCCUUCAGGGCCUGCCAGACACUCACCUUUUUCGGGGCACUGCGGUCCGGGCCACCUCGCUGCGGGCAGCAUCAGCGGCCUGCGGGACGGUCCAUGCGGCCAGCCGAGAAGGGAGGGGCGCAGGG
ensembl:lncRNA